GCUGGCGGCAGGCCUAACACAUGCAAGUCGAGGGAGAAGCUGACUUCGGUCAGUGGGCACCGGCGCACGGGUGAGUAACGCGUGGGAACCUACCCAGGGGUGGGGGAUAACCGCUGGAAACGGCGGCUAAUACCGCAUACGCCUUUUUGAGGGAAAGAUUUAUCGCCCUUGGAUGGGCCCGCGUUGGAUUAGGUAGUUGGUGGGGUAAAGGCCUACCAAGCCUACGAUCUAUAGCUGGUCUGAGAGGAUGAUCAGCCACACUGGGACUGAGACACGGCCCAGACUCCUACGGGAGGCAGCAGUGGGGAAUCUUGGACAAUGGGGGCAACCCUGAUCCAGCCAUGCCGCGUGAGUGAAGAAGGCCUUAGGGUUGUAAAGCUCUUUCAACGGUGAAGAUGAUAACUGUAGCCGUAGAAGAAGCCCCGGCUAACUCCGUGCCAGCAGCCGCGGUAAUACGGAGGGGGCAAGCGUUGUUCGGAAUUACUGGGCGUAAAGGGCGUGUAGGCGGCCAAGCAAGUCAGAGGUGAAAGCCCUGGGCUCAACCUGGGAACUGCCUUUGAAACUGUUUGGCUUGAGACC
rnacentral:rRNA from 1 species